UAUUUGAUUUAAUUGUGUUGGAUAUGUUCAGAUCUGAUUUUGAGCUUAGACUAAUAAUGAAUAUCAUCUUUAGUGUAUUUUGCUUAUGCUUUAAUGGCUUUAUACUUGUGUUUCACUACUGGUUUUUGGUGUAUUUUGUGACUUGAUUUUGUUGUAUUUUGUGACUGGAUUUUGGUGUGUUUAUAGUCUAUUUUGCUGCUUAUUUAAUGGCUACUACUUGUAUUUUGCUACUAGUUUUUGGUAUAUUUCUUGACUGGAUUUUGGUGCAUUUUGCAACCGGUUUGAAUGGAUUAAUAUGAUUGAUUUAUGGUCUAUUUUGCUGAUGCUUUUGGUGUAGUUUGCUAUUGUGCAAUGGAGACUAACUGAGGUCUGUCAAAGAUUGGAGCAUGAUCUUGUGAUCCAGAGUUUUAAUGGUCUAUAUUGAGAUGCAUUUCUUUGGUACAAUACUAGAUAACAUUGGCAGUUGAAGUUUUUAGAAUAAAAAAUAUAUUUCACUAACAUUGUAUACAUUUCUUGUUUAAUAUUUGGUGAUGAUAGAAUUUGAUUGUAGUAUAAACUAUAAUGUAAUAUGAUUUUGUAAGCUGAGUAGACUAAAUAUUGAACUUAUAUUUUUGAGUAAUUAAUAAAAAAAUAUUUUGUUGUA